UAGGGAAUCUUCCACAAUGGACGCAAGUCUGAUGGAGCAACGCCGCGUGAGUGAAGAAGGUUUUCGGACCGUAAAGCUCUGUUGUUGGUGAAGAAGGAUAGAGGUAGUAACUGGCCCUUUAUUUGACGGUAAUCAACCAGAAAGUCACGGCUAACUACGUGCCAGCAGCCGCGGUAAUCGUAGGUGGCAAGCGUUGUCCGGAUUUAUUGGGCGUAAAGCGAGCGCAGGCGGAAGAAUAAGUCUGAUGUGAAGGCCCUCGGCUUAACCGAGGAAUUGCAUCGGAAACUGUUUUCUUGAGUGCAGAAGAGGAGAGUAGAACUCCAUGUGUAGCGGUGGAAUGCGUAGAUAUAUGGAAGAAUACCAGUGGCGAAGGCGGCUCUCUGGUCUGCAACUGACGCUGAGGCUCGAAAGCAUGGGUAGCGAACAGGAUUAGAUACCCUGGUAGUCCAUGCCGUAAACGAUGAGUGCUAAGUGUUGGGAGGCUUCCGCCUCUCAGUGCUGCAGCUAACGCAUUAAGCACUCCGCCUGGGGGAGUACGACCGCAAGGUUGAAAC
rnacentral:rRNA from 1 species